rnacentral:pre_miRNA from 1 species
GAAGCAGUAAGCGAUUUAGUUGUAGGGCUUCUCUCCUUUGGCAGGUGAUGGCCAAGGGCAAAGAUCAUAUAAUAUAUUUAUAUAUAUGGUGCCUAUUCUAAUUAUUGUUCUAUUUUUUCAAUGACCUGCCAAAGGAGAGUUGCCCUAUAACUGCUUCAGCUUUUAAAUAA